CUACUACUCCCUCCGUCCGAAAAUACUUGUCAUUGAAAUGGAUAUAUCUAGAUGUAUUUUAGUUCUAGACACAUCCAUUUUGAUGACAAGUAAUUCUGGACGGAGGGAGUAUUAU
rnacentral:pre_miRNA from 1 species